UAGACCCUUCACUCCUGCGCUCUUUAGAUCCCUGGCACUGAGGAUCUCCAAGCAGGUGGCUCGCCGGCCCUCAGCGGGUGGUGGUCGGACGAACAUCACGACCCUGGACUGAUCUGAUUCUUGGACUGGGUCAGGUGCCACGCCUAUGAUAGCGUCUCAGAACCACUCCCAGGGCUCAUAAGAAGACCUCCAUAGGCCUAAUAACAAGAAAUCCCGAGUCACCUGUUGCAAGAUCACCUGUUACCUGUACUCGUGGCCUGCCUUUCCUUGACACCUUCGGGCUUAGGUUGACCAACGAGGCCAAGUCCCUUUACUAGGCUACCGAAUGUGCCAAAAACUACAGGACACACAGUUGCUGCACUGCUGAUCAUCCCUGUCCCUGUCUGACGGUCUGGCCGACACCCUGCACUGCCUUACUGAUCCUGAAGAUCUCAAGAACAUUCACUUCUCAGCCUUUGCUUUAGACUGAGCUUUCCCUCCAGCUGUCCAAGAAUACCUGGAGCAGUGGAGGAAGAUAAUGGAGGUGCUGCUGGAGAUCCUGGAUGUGGGUGUGGCCGAAGGAGACAGCCAGCACGACUACUCUGUUCACAUGGGCACUGAUGGGGCAGGUUCAGCCUCCUCUACCUGCACCUGGCCCAUUGCAGGGGUGAUGAAGCCUGCCUGAAGAAAGCCUUGAGCAUCCUGAACAAUGCCCUGCACAAUCUGAUGAGCCAACGCCAUUCCUUCAUCUGUGACAACACGGGGCCCUUGGCGCCGGUAGUCGUGCUGUGCCACAGGGAGGGGGACACCGGCAUGUUGAAGAUCUGCAUCUUAAAGUCUUUGGGAACAAGAGUUACUUGGAGGAAGCCAAGAGUAGGAAGUGUGUGGGAGUGAGGCAUUCUGAAAAAGGGUUACGGCAUCUGUCACGGCACAGCUGGCAAAUGAUAGACGCUGCUCUUCUUGUAUCAGGUGACCCACAAGGCUAAGUUCCUGUACCAAGCUGCCAGUGUGCCAAAACUAUGGCACACAUGGCUGCUGCACCACUGACUGCGGGCCUAUCUAAAGUGAGAACAUUUACUUCCCAGCCUUUGCUUUAUUGUGAGGCAUACAAAGAUGUGUUACUUAUUCUCACAAGGUCAUGUAAUAAAAGAAGGAAGGUGUUAGGAUUUAAGACUUGGCAGUGUACUUGUUGUAACUCUUGUAUUUUUCUUUAUUGUCUCUCUACACAAAUGUAUAAGACUUCUUACCUGUAAUUGAUGUCAUGUUGUUUGUAGAGUGUAUGUUGCAUUACAUUUGUCACAUGUGUAUGUAAUGUGUGUUAGAGGAAGCACCAGUGAAUCAUUUGAGGUAACAAGAACUGUUGGUUGUGAUUGGAGUAAAUGUAAUUGGUGGUUACUUUCCUGCCUUUGAAAUGAGAGGGGGGGGAUAGGC